rnacentral:rRNA from 1 species
GUAAUGAGGGUCGCCGCAAGGCGGACAACUCGGUGAGUCCAAGCUUCCAAGAAAAGCAUCGUACAAGUGUACCGCUGUGCUGACCGUACCGUAAACCGACACAGGUGGGUGGGGAGAACAUCCCAAGGCGCUUGAGAGAACUCGGGUUAAGGAACUCUGCAAAUUGACACCGUAACUUCGGGAGAAGGUGUGCCCUUGAGGGUGACGGGCCUCGCGCCAUGAGCCUUUGGGGGUUGCAGAGAAUCGGGGGUAGCGACUGUUUACCAAAAACACAGGACUCUGCGAAGUCGCAAGACGACGUAUAGGGUCUGACGCCUGCCCGGUGCCGGAAGGUUAACAGGAGAUGUCAGCGCAAGCGAAGCAUCGAAUCGAAGCCCCGGUAAACGGCGGCCGUAACGAUAACGGUCCUAAGGUAGCGAAAUUCCUUGGCGGGUAAGUUCCGUCCUGCACGAAUGGCGUAACGACUUCCCCACUGUCUCGACCCGGGACUCAGCGAAAUUGAAAUCGGGGUGAAGAUGCCCCGUACCCGCGGCAAGACGGAAAGACCCCGUGAACCUUUACUGCAGCUUGGCACUGGUUCUCGGACUUGUCUGUGUAGGAUAGGUGGGAGGCUAUGAUGUGGGGCCGCUAGGUUCCACGGAGCCAACGUUGAAAUACCACCCUGAGAAGUCUGAAAGCCUAACCGUGACCAGUAAGCCUGGUCCGGGACACUGCCUGGUGGGUAGUUUGACUGGGGCGGUCACCUCCGAAAGAGUAACGGUGGCGCGCAAAGGUUCCCUCAGGCUGAUUGGAAACCAGCCGAAGAGUGUAAAGGCAUAAGGGAGCUUGACUGCAACUCAUACAAGAGGAGCAGGCACGAAAGUGGGCCUUAGUGAUCCGGUGGUUCUGAAUGGAAGGGCCAUCGCUCAACGGAUAAAAGGUACUCCGGGGAUAACAGGCUUAUCACGCCCAAGAGUUCACAUCGACGGCGUGGUUUGGCACCUCGAUGUCGGCUCAUCGCAUCCUGGGGCUGUAGUAGGUCCCAAGGGUUUGGCUGUUCGCCAAUUAAAGCGGUACGCGAGCUGGGUUCAAAACGUCGUGAGACAGUUUGGUCCCUAUCUGCCGUGGGCGCAGGAAUCUUGAAGUGGAGCUGUCCCUAGUACGAGAGGACCGGGAUGGACAGACCCCUGGUGUUCCGGUUGUUUUGCCAAGAGCAUCGCCGGGUAGCCAUGUCUGGAACGGAUAACCGCUGAAAGCAUCUAAGCGGGAAGCCAACCACAAGAUGAGGAUUCCCUGAAGGUCCGUCGUAGACCACGACGUUAAUAGGCCGGGUGUGGAAGCGCGGUGACGCGCGGAGCUAACCGGUACUAAUCGACCGUUCGGCUUGACU